rnacentral:pre_miRNA from 1 species
CGUAGAAUAGCUAGGUCAAAUAGUGGUUCCAGUUUUCUAAGGAAUCUCCAUACUGCUUUCCAGAGUGGUUGCACCAAUAUUCAUUCCCACCAGCAAU